rnacentral:rRNA from 1 species
UACGGGAGGCAGCAGUGGGGGAAUAUUGCACAAUGGGCGCAAGCCUGAUGCAGCCAUGCCGCGUGUAUGAAAAAGGCCUUUCGGGUUGUAAAGUACUUUUCAGUCGUGAGGAAGGUGUUAAGGUUAAUAACCUUAGCAAUUGACGUUAGCGACAGAAGAAGCACCGGCUAACUCCGUGCCAGCAGCCGCGGUAAUACGGAGGGUGCGAGCGUUAAUCGGAAUUACUGGGCUAAAGGGCACGCAGGCGGUUAAUUAAGUUGGAUGUGAAAUCCCGGGCUUAACCUGGGAAUGGCAUUCAAGACUGGUUAGCUAGAGUCUUGUAGAGGGGGUAGAAUUCCAUGUGUAGCGGUGAAAUGCGUAGAGAUGUGGAGGAAUACCGGUGGCGAAAGGCGGCCCCUGGACAAAGACUGACGCUCAUGUGCGAAAGCGUGGGGAGCAAAACAGGGAUUAGAUACC